AACGGAGCUUCCAUUCGAUGCGAACGGACAAUUGGUUUAAAUGAUGCUAGCGCGAGGAGUGUUCGAGCGGUCCGCGGUACACACGUGUCCCGCACCGUGGCCUCUGAUCCGUACGGACCACGGAAAAUCCGUGAUCCGUUACACCCCUAGUUUCUAGCCCAUUCUUGUGAGCGUUUGACGUGUUCUCUGUGAUGGUUUUGGUUCUGGAAUGACGGGUUUUUGGGCGUUCAGACUGACGGGUUGGACUCGUUCGUCAGCAGCUCAGACGUGGUCAAGACGACCUGCUGCCGUUCAAACAUCAGAACGAGGAGGAACUGAUCCCAUCCACCGAUAACGGGUCGGAUCGACUGUUUAGAACCGGAUCUGCAGUGAGAAGAACACAGUCAGGUGAGCGAGACUCUGACGGGUUUUCUGGUUUAGGAUUCAUCUCAGUCCGUUUCAUAGGAACUUGGUGGUUUAAACCGUUUCUUCCCUGACAACUGAAUUGGAUCUAAAUGUCCAACUUCUAUCUAAAUAGAAUUUUAUUCCAUUUCAUGUAAUUUUCCAACUUGCUGCUCUACAUUUUUUUUACUUUGUAAUCUUGAUGUACUCAUGUGCUCCCAGUCAAAUGAUCAACUUUUUAACAGAAAACUUUCC
rnacentral:lncRNA from 1 species